CCUACGGGAGGCUGCAGUGAGGAAUAUUGGUCAAUGGACGAGAGUCUGAACCAGCCAAGUAGCGUGAAGGAUGACUGCCCUAUGGGUUGUAAACUUCUUUUAUAUGGGAAUAAAAUGUUCAACGUGUGGGAUUUUGUAUGUACCAUAUGAAUAAGGAUCGGAUAACUCCGUGCCAGCAGUCGCGGUAAUACGGAGGAUCCGAGCGUUAUCCGGAUUUUUUGGGUUUAAAGGGAGCGUAGGGGGAUUGUUAAGUCAGUUGUGAAAGUUUGCGGCUCAACCGUAAAAUUGCAGUUGAAACUGGCAGUCUUGAGUACAGUAGAGGUGGGCGGAAUUCGUGGUGUAGCGGUGAAAUGCUUAGAUAUCACGAAGAACUCCGAUUGCGAAGGCAGCUCACUGGACUGCAACUGACACUGAGGCUCGAAAGUGUGGGUAUCAAACAGGAUUAGAUACCCGAGUAGUC
rnacentral:rRNA from 1 species